rnacentral:rRNA from 1 species
GACGAACGCUGGCGGCGUGCUUAACACAUGCAAGUCGAACGGAAAGGCCCCUUUGGGGGUACUCGAGUGGCGAACGGGUGAGUAACACGUGAGUAACCUGCCCUUGACUUCGGGAUAACUUCAGGAAACUGGGGCUAAUACCGGAUAGGAAUCCUUGCUGCAUGGUGGGUGUUGUUAAGCUUCGGCGGUUUUGGAUGGACUCGCGGCUCAUCAGCUUGUUGGUGGGGUGGUGGCCUACCACGUCUUUGACGGGUAGCCGGCCUGAGCUGGAGACCGGCCCCAGUGGGACUGCGAGACGGCCCAGCCGCCUACGGGCGGCAGCCGUGGGGACUCUUGCACCAUGGGAGCGAGCCUGAUGCAGCAACGCCGCGUGCGGGAUGACGGCCUUCGGGUUGUAGCCCGCGUUCAGCAGGGGCGAAGCUUGUGGUGACGGUACCUGCAGAAGAAGCACCGGCUAACUUCGUG